rnacentral:rRNA from 1 species
AUCCUGAGUACGACGGAGCACGUGAAAUUCCGUCGGAAUCUGGGAGGACCAUCUCCUAAGGCUAAAUACUCUCUAGUGACCGAUAGUGAACCAGUACCGUGAGGGAAAGGUGAAAAGCACCCCGGAAGGGGAGUGAAAUAGAACCUGAAACCGUGUGCUUACAAGUAGUCAGAGCCCGUUAAUGGGUGAUGGCGUGCCUUUUGUAGAAUGAACCGGCGAGUUACGAUUUGAUGCAAGGUUAAGCAGUAAAUGUGGAGCCGUAGCGAAAGCGAGUCUGAAUAGGGCGUUUAGUAUUUGGUCGUAGACCCGAAACCAGGUGAUCUACCCUUGGUCAGGUUGAAGUUCAGGUAACACUGAAUGGAGGACCGAACCGACUUACGUUGAAAAGUGAGCGGAUGAACUGAGGGUAGCGGAGAAAUUCCAAUCGAACCUGGAGAUAGCUGGUUCUCUCCGAAAUAGCUUUAGGGCUAGCCUCAAGUGAUGAUUAUUGGAGGUAGAGCACUGUUUGGACGAGGGGCCCCUCUCGGGUUACCGAAUUCAGACAAACUCCGAAUGCCAAUUAAUUUAACUUGGGAGUCAGAACAUGGGUGAUAAGGUCCGUGUUCGAAAGGGAAACAGCCCAGACCACCAGCUAAGGUCCCAAAAUAUAUGUUAAGUGGAAAAGGAUGUGGCGUUGCCCAGACAACUAGGAUGUUGGCUUAGAAGCAGCCAUCAUUUAAAGAGUGCGUAAUAGCUCACUAGUCGAGUGACACUGCGCCGAAAAUGUACCGGGGCUAAACAUAUUACCGAAGCUGUGGAUUGUCCUUUGGACAAUGGUAGGAGAGCGUUCUAAGGGCGUUGAAGCAUGAUCGUAAGGACAUGUGGAGCGCUUAGAAGUGAGAAUGCCGGUGUGAGUAGCGAAAGACGGGUGAGAAUCCCGUCCACCGAUUGACUAAGGUUUCCAGAGGAAGGCUCGUCCGCUCUGGGUUAGUCGGGUCCUAAGCUGAGGCCGACAGGCGUAGGCGAUGGAUAACAGGUUGAUAUUCCUGUACCACCUAUAAUCGUUUUAAUCGAUGGGGGGACGCAGUAGGAUAGGCGAAGCGUGCGAUUGGAUUGCACGUCUAAGCAGUAAGGCUGAGUAUUAGGCAAAUCCGGUACUCGUUAAGGCUGAGCUGUGAUGGGGAGAAGACAUUGUGUCUUCGAGUCGUUGAUUUCACACUGCCGAGAAAAGCCUCUAGAUAGAAAAUAGGUGCCCGUACCGCAAACCGACACAGGUAGUCAAGAUGAGAAUUCUAAGGUGAGCGAGCGAACUCUCGUUAAGGAACUCGGCAAAAUGACCCCGUAACUUCGGGAGAAGGGGUGCUCUUUAGGGUUAACGCCCAGAAGAGCCGCAGUGAAUAGGCCCAAGCGACUGUUUAUCAAAAACACAGGUCUCUGCUAAACCGUAAGGUGAUGUAUAGGGGCUGACGCCUGCCCGGUGCUGGAAGGUUAAGAGGAGUGGUUAGCUUCUGCGAAGCUACGAAUCGAAGCCCCAGUAAACGGCGGCCGUAACUAUAACGGUCCUAAGGUAGCGAAAUUCCUUGUCGGGUAAGUUCCGACCCGCACGAAAGGCGUAACGAUUUGGGCACUGUCUCAACGAGAGACUCGGUGAAAUCAUAGUACCUGUGAAGAUGCAGGUUACCCGCGACAGGACGGAAAG